rnacentral:rRNA from 1 species
CCAAGGAGUUUAACCCGUGCGCGAGUCGUUGGGUGAGCGCGAAACCCACAGGCGCAAUGAAAGUGAAGGCAGCCUCCGGUUUGCCCAGGUAGGAUCCGCUCCGACCACGGGGCGGCGCACUACCGGCCCGUCUCCUCCUCGCCGAGGUGAGGCGGAGCAAGAGCGCACGCGUUGGGACCCGAAAGAUGGUGAACUAUGCCUGAGCAGGACGAAGCCAGAGGAAACUCUGGUGGAAGUCCGUAGCGAUUCUGACGUGCAAAUCGAUCGUCGRACUUGGGUAUAGGGGCGAAAGACUAAUCGAACCAUCUA